UAUAAUAAUAUUAUUAUUAUAUUCGAAAUAUUAGUUACUACAUUUAAAUACUAUUAUUAAAUUUUAAAUACCAUCUUUAUAUUUUAAAUUUUAAAUUUUAAAUUUUAAUUUAUAUAUAUAUAUAUAUAUAUAUAGUAGGGUUACUAUAUUCUUAUGUGUAUUUGGCCCUUCGUACUCAUAAGUUGUUUUUGAUGAUGGGGCUUCCGAAUCGACAAUCCACUUCGUUAAACAUGAUCUAGAGUAUUUGAAACCUCNGCUUCCGAAUCGACAAUCCACUUCGUUAAACAUGAUCUAGAGUAUUUGAAACCUCUAGAAAAUAAAUUUCGUAAUUUUUCGAAAUCAUAAUAAAGCUUAUCAAACGGGCAUAAAAUAAACGGUCAAAAUUAAACGACGUCCUAAAAAUGUAUGAUCCGAUCCUUCAAUUUAAAUCGGAGUUAUUCAUCUUUAUCUUGGUCGUGAAUAGAAUUUUCUAUAAACAAUUCAAUCUAUUCCGAUUCUUUUACACCGUUAAACUAGCAAAUAUCGCAUACCGGCAGUUAAAAAUUAUCAAUUUUGUGAGCUUUGGAUCGUAAGGUAAAUGAUGUCGAAAAAUUAUGAAAAUUGAUUUCUAGAAGUUUUAAAUACUCUAGAUAAUGUUUAACGGUAUGGAUCGUCGAUUUGAAAGCUCUAUCAUUGAAAACAAUUUAUAAGUACAAGAGCGAUAGUACUCAUAAGAGUAUAAUAGCCGAACU
rnacentral:lncRNA from 1 species